GGCCUGCUAGCUCAGUCGGUUAGAGCGUCGUGCUAAUAACGCGAAGGUCGUAGGUUCGAUCCCUGUGCAGACCA
rnacentral:tRNA from 1 species